UUUUUUUUCAAUUGGUCUUGUUUGUUAAGUCUGGUAGUUUUAAAAUGAAUCCUUAUCUUUAUAUAUUAAAAGUUUUAGAAUCUCUGGAUUAUCUCAUUUUUCUCCAGAGAGGUUUUGCCUUGUCCUCUGAUGGCCACAAAGAGUAGUGGCUGACUCAAGGCCGUGCUGCGAUUUUAAGCCUCCUUUGAUCUCUGGUUUGUCUCUGUUCUUAGAGUGUAGUAUCUCAGGGAUCCCUAUACAGACCUUGUAGUAUCUAGAACCUUUCUUCUCUGGUGGUCACUGAAUACCAAUUUUUGUCUCUUGUACAUCUUGAGACUACCAAAACUUCUGUAAGUGAAAUAAGGCCGCCACAGAAAGACGAAUUUUACAUGUUCUCACUCAUAUGUGGGAGCUAAAAAAAAUAGCUUUGAUGACGUAGACAAGAAUUGACAGAAUAGAAUUGAUGAAGUAGACAAGAAUACAUAUGUAUACAUGAUAUAUGUAUAUCCUUCUUGUUAUAUUUCAAGUUCUAUUUAUAAAAUAUUUCAAACAUGCUGAAAAGAAUAGAGGAUAUAAUAAAAAUUGUUGUACCCACAACUCAGGUUUAAGAAAAUGUUAACAUUUUACCAUAUUUAGAUUCUUUUUAGAGGGGGGGGCUGAGGAAUAA
rnacentral:lncRNA from 1 species